AGUGAACGCUGGCGGUAGGCCUAACACAUGCAAGUCGAACGGCAGCACAGUAAGAGCUUGCUCUUACGGGUGGCGAGUGGCGGACGGGUGAGGAAUACAUCGGAAUCUACUUUUUCGUGGGGGAUAACGUAGGGAAACUUACGCUAAUACCGCAUACGACCUACGGGUGAAAGCAGGGGAUCUUCGGACCUUGCGCGAUUGAAUGAGCCGAUGUCGGAUUAGCUAGUUGGCGGGGUAAAGGCCCACCAAGGCGACGAUCCGUAGCUGGUCUGAGAGGAUGAUCCGCCACACGGGAACUGAGACACGGUCCAGACUCCUACGGGAGGCAGCAGUGGGGAAUAUUGGACAAUGGGCGCAAGCCUGAUCCAGCCCUACCGCGUGGGUGAAGAAGGCCUUCGGGUUGUAAAGCCCUUUUGUUGGGAAAGAAAAGCAGCAGGUUAAUACCCCGCUGUGCUGACGGUACCCAAAGAAUAAGCACCGGCUAACUUCGUG
rnacentral:rRNA from 1 species